rnacentral:lncRNA from 1 species
AGACCUUCCUCACGUUAUCUCUGAGUGACAUUGCAAGGAGAGUUCAUCUACAUGCACCGCAAGAGGCUGAGCAGUAUGUCAGAAAUAUGAUUGAAGAUGGUGACAUCCAUGCAACUAUCAGCAAACAGAAUGGAAUGGUCCAUUUCCAUGACAACCCAGAAAAAUAUGACAAUCCUGCAGUACUCAGACAUGUCGAGGAACAGAUGCAGCAUUGUAUCAGUCUAGAUGAGAAGCUCAAGAGCAUGGAUCAAGAGAUAGCU